UGAAUCGCUGCUCUCUGGCCCCCCCACCUAUUGUCACCCUUCUCUCUGCAGCCUGCCUUCAAAGGCCUCACCUUCACUGACCUGCCUUUGUGCCUACAACUGAACAUCAUGCAGAGGCUGAGCGACGGGCGGGACCUGGUCAGCCUGGGCCAGGCUGCCCCCGACCUGCACGUGCUCAGCGAAGACCGGCUGCUGUGGAAGAAACUCUGCCAGUACCACUUCUCCGAGCGGCAGAUCCGCAAACGAUUAAUUCUGUCAGACAAAGGGCAGCUGGAUUGGAAGAAGAUGUAUUUCAAACUUGUCCGAUGUUACCCAAGAAAAGAGCAGUAUGGAGAUACCCUUCAGCUCUGCAAACACUGUCACAUCCUUUCCUGGAAGGGCACUGACCAUCCGUGCACUGCCAAUAACCCAGAGAGCUGCUCCGUUUCACUUUCACCCCAGGACUUUAUCAACUUGUUCAAGUUCUGAAUCCCAGCACAUGACAACACUUCAGAAGGGUCCCCCUGCUGACUGGAGAGCUGGGAAUAUGGCAUUUGGACACUUCAUUUGUAAAUAGUGUACAUUUUAAACAUUGGCUCGAAACUUCAGAGAUAAGUCAUGGAGAGGACAUUGGAGGGGAGAAAUGCAGUUGCUGACUGGGAAUUUAAGAAUGUGAACUUCUCACUAGAAUUGGUAUGGAAAAGCAAAAUACUGUAAAUAAACUUUUUUUCUAACAAUUUGCCAGCAAGACUAUAA
rnacentral:sRNA from 1 species